CCUACGGGAGGCAGCAGUGAGGAAUAUUGGUCAAUGGACGAGAGUCUGAACCAGCCAAGUAGCGUGAAGGAUGACUGCCCUAUGGGUUGUAAACUUCUUUUAUAAAGGAAUAAAACGACGCACGUGUGCCUUUUUGCAUGUACUUUAUGAAUAAGGAUCGGCUAACUCCGUGCCAGCAGCCGCGGUAAUACGGUGGAUACGAGCGUUAUCCGGAUUUAUUGGGUUUAAAGGGAGCGUAGAUGGGUUGUUAAGUCAGUUGUGAAAGUUUGCGGCUCAACCGUAAAAUUGCAAUUGAUACUGGCAGUCUUGAGUACAGUAGAGGUGGGCGGAAUUCGUGGUGUAGCGGUGAAAUGCUUAGAUAUCACGAAGAACCCCGAUUGCGAAGGCAGCUUACUAAACUGUGACUGACAUUGAUGCUCGAAAGUGUGGGGAUCAAACAGGAUUAGAUACCCUUGUAGUC
rnacentral:rRNA from 1 species